UCCAGACUCCUACGGGAGGCAGCAGUGGGGCAUAUUGCACAAUGGGGGAAGCCCUGAUGCAGCAACGCCGCGUGAGUGAAGAAGUCAUUCGUGAUGUAAAGCUCUCUCAGCAGGGAAGAAAAUGACGGUACCUGAGUAAGAAGCCCCGGCUAACUACGUGCCAGCAGCCGCGGUAAUACGUAGGGGGCAAGCGUUAUCCGGAUUUACUGGGUGUAAAGGGAGCGUAGACGGCCAGACAAGUCUGAAGUGAAAAUCCAGCGCUUAACGUUGGAAGUGCUUUGGAAACUGCCGGGCUAGAGUGCAGGAGGGGCAGGCGGAAUUCCUGGUGUAGCGGUGAAAUGCGCAGAUAUCAGGAAGAACACCGGUGGCGCAGGCGGCUUGCUGGACGGCAACUGACGCUGAGGCUCGAAAGCGUGGGGAGCAAACAGGAUUAGAUACCCCUGUA
rnacentral:rRNA from 1 species